GAUUCGACUUGAAAAUCUGAGCAGAACCGAUUCUUAUGUCCGAAAUGCCUCGGAUGAAUUCUCGCGUCUCGACACAAGAUGGAGUCCACGGUAGAACAAUACAGGUGGACAGACGAAGAUGUGGAAAAGCUUAUUCGUCUAAGGGCGGAGAAGGAUUAGAUGUUUUCUGGCAAAAGAAAUGACGCUCAGCUUGGUUGGGAAACUGUUCUUAAAGAGAUUGGUCUUGCUGAUAAAGUCAGCCCAGCAAGGGCUGGGAAGAAGUGGGAAAACCUGAAAAUAAAAUUUAAGGAACUGAAGCAGCUACCAUCAGGUGUGGAGAGCGAGUCAGGGGACACAAAUGCAAGGAGCUGGAAGUGGUUUGAGCUGAUGAAUGAAGCAAUUGGUUGGAGGCCAUCUAUGCAGCCUCCCUUUCUGAUUUCUUCAGCAUCCCCUACUUAUAGUUCCUCAGAGCUGCUUGAAACAGAUGACAGCGACCCAGGGUUUAGCCCCUUGCCACCAAAAAGGCAGCAUAAGGAUCCAGUUUUGGAGUUCCUGGAGAGAGAGGCAGAGCGGUCUGAGGCCAGGGAGAGGAGAGCAGAGGAAAGAGAGGAAAAGUUAUUAAACCUGCUGGAGAGAACCGUUGAUAAGAUGUAAAUGUAAAAAAAAAAAUAAUAAUAAUAAUAAUAAUAAAAAAAGGUUGUUGUUUUCAUAUUCUUAUUGUUGCAAAUACCAAUUAUUGGUUAACAGUUAAGUAUAACUAGUUCAUAAGUUAUAUAAUAUAUUACAUACUUUAUACAAUAAUUUGGUGAUUUUGUCAUUGCAUAUGUGAAAUAUAGCCAUAUUUUACUUUGACAGACAUCUUACAACAUGUCAAGUUGUUGUUGUUUUUUUUGUUUUUUUUUUGCAAUGAAAAUAGAGUUUCUUUAAUAAAUUGUUAUAGAGGACUGGUUGAUUAGUUAAUUAACAUUAAAGUGAAUAAAGUGUUCUCUUGAAA